rnacentral:misc_RNA from 1 species
GCAAACUUGGUCAUUUAGAGGAAGUAAAAGUCGUAACAAGGUCUCCGUUGGUGAACCAGCGGAGGGAUCAUUAUAGAGUUUUCUAAACUCCCAACCCAUGUGAACUUACCUUUUGUUGCCUCGGCAGAAGUUAUAGGUCUUCUUAUAGCUGCUGCCGGUGGACCAUUAAACUCUUGUUAUUUUAUGUAAUCUGAGCGUCUUAUUUUAAUAAGUCAAAACUUUCAACAACGGAUCUCUUGGUUCUGGCAUCGAUGAAGAACGCAGC